GUGGUUUCUAAAGACUCUCCUAGCAACAAAACUUAUAAAUAAGGUCCUGCUCCCUGCCUGCCCAUCUUCGACCUCAGCCCUCCUCCUCCAAAGCAGUCCCUCAGAACCCCUCCUGGUUUCAGUCUGGAUCCCACCACAUGUUGAAUGGCACCCUCUCAAUCUGGGACAGCGUCCGUUGAUUUUCUCCUGUGAUAAAUGAGUGCCUGGAGUAGGGAUGGCACAGAAGAACUAUUCAGCACAUGAAGCAGUGAAUGAAAAGACAAAAGGGCAAGAAAAGGAGAGAACAGUGGAGAAAAAAGAUUUUAAUUAAAUACAUGUGGGAAUUUA
rnacentral:lncRNA from 1 species